rnacentral:tRNA from 2 species
UGGCAAGUAGCUCAGUUGGUAGAGCACUCGGCUGUUAACCGUGCGGUCCCUGGUUCGAGUCCAGGCUUGCCAGCCA